rnacentral:ncRNA from 1 species
AAAUAAUUUGAUUCUUGUUAAUUAGUUAAUUUAAUUAUUUUUUUGCAUGUAAAUUUUUGUGAGGGGUUUGUCUCUAAAUGGGUGUUAUUUAAAAUUUCAGUGCUUAGUUUUUAUCUUUUUAAUAUUUUAAUUGGAGGAAUUUAUUUAUGUCAGAAUAAUUUUGUGCCAGCAUUCGCGGUUAUACAUUUUGUUUAAAUUAACUUUUUCAGUUCACAGUUUUUUUAUAAAUUUAUUUUAUUUAGGUGAAAUUUAUAUUUAUUAUUUUUUUUUUACUGUUUAAGCUUGUUAUAAACCAGGAUUAGAUACCCUGUUAUUUCGAUUAAUUUUUAUUUCUGGGUAGUAGAAUUUAUUUGAAAUUCAAUGGAUCUGGCGGUUUUUAAAUCUUUUCAGAGGAACCUGUAAUUUAAAUGAUAAUCCACGAUUAAUUUUACUUUAUUUUUCUUGUAUAUCUCUGUCGUUGAAUGUAAUGAAAAUUUAUUUUCUUUUUUUUUUAAAAAUUUAUGUUAGGUCAAGGUGCAGUUAUAGUGAAGUUUUUAUGGGUUACUUUUAUUUUUGUUAGUGAAUUUUUUUUUUGUUGAAUUUUUGAAUUUGGAUUUGAAAGUAAUUUUUUUUAUUAAAUUUUUUGAAUUUAGCUCUUAAUUAUGUACAUAUCGCCCGUCACUCUCAUAAAUUGAGAUAAGUCGUAACAAAGUAGAUGUACUGGAAAGUGUAUCUAGAAUCAG